AUUGAACGCUGGCGGAAUGCUUUACACAUGCAAGUCGAACGGCAGCAUAGGUGCUUGCACCUGAUGGCGAGUGGCGAACGGGUGAGUAAUACAUCGGAACGUGCCCAGUCGUGGGGGAUAACGUAGCGAAAGUUACGCUAAUACCGCAUACGAUCUACGGAUGAAAGCGGGGGACCGUAAGGCCUCGCGCGAUUGGAGCGGCCGAUGUUAGAUUAGGUAGUUGGUGGGGUAAAGGCUCACCAAGCCGACGAUCUAUAGCUGGUCUGAGAGGAUGAUCAGCCACACUGGGACUGAGACACGGCCCAGACUCCUACGGGAGGCAGCAGUGGGGAAUUUUGGACAAUGGGCGCAAGCCUGAUCCAGCCAUUCCGCGUGCAGGAUGAAGGCCCUCGGGUUGUAAACUGCUUUUGUACAGAACGAAAAGGUCCUGGUUAAUACCUAGGGCUCAUGACGGUACUGUAAGAAUAAGCACCGGCUAACUACGUG
rnacentral:rRNA from 1 species